CCUACGGGUGGCAGCAGUGAGGAAUAUUGGUCAAUGGGCGAGAGCCUGAACCAGCCAAGUCGCGUGAGGGAGUACUGCCCUAUGGGUUGUAACCCUCUUUUGUCGGGGAGCAAAAGCCGGACGUAGUCGGCUGUGAGAGUACCCGAAGAAAAAGCAUCGGCUACCUCGGUGCCAGAAGCCGCGGUAAUACGGGGGAUGAGAGGGUUAUCCGGAUUUAUUGGGUUUAAAGGGUGCGCAGGCGGAGUGUUAAGUCAGCGGGCAAAUCGUGGGGCUCAACCCCGUCCAGCCGUUGAGAUUGGUGACCUAGAGUGUGCGAGAGGUAGGCGGAAUGCGAGGUGUAGCGGUGAAAUGCAUAGAGAUCACGCAGAACACCGAUUGCGAAGGCAGCAUACCGGUGCACAACUGACGCUCAGGCACGAAAGCGUGGGUAGCAAACAGGAUUAGAUACCCUUGUAGUC
rnacentral:rRNA from 1 species